AUUCGCCUCAAUCAGGUAGACUCCCCUAAAUUAAGCUUUCAUAGCGGAGAAA
rnacentral:rRNA from 1 species